AGUGAACGCUGGCGGUAGGCCUAACACAUGCAAGUCGAACGGCAGCACAGUAAGAGCUUGCUCUUACGGGUGACGAGUGGCGGACGGGUGAGGAAUACAUCGGAAUCUACUUUUUCGUGGGGGAUAACGUAGGGAAACUUACGCUAAUACCGCAUACGACCUACGGGUGAAAGCAGGGGAUCUUCGGACCUUGCGCGAUUGAAUGAGCCGAUGUCGGAUUAGCUAGUUGGCGGGGUAAAGGCCGACCAAGGGGACGAUCCGUAGCUGGUCUGAGAGGAUGAUCAGCCACACUGGAACUGAGACACGGUCCAGACUCCUACGGGAGGCAGCAGUGGGGAAUAUUGGACAAUGGGCGCAAUCCUGAUCCAGCCAUACCGCGUGGGUGAAGAAGGCCUUCGGGUUGUAAAGCCCUUUUGUUGGGAAAGAAAAGCAGCAGGUUAAUACCCCGCUGUUCUGACGGUACCCAAAGAAUAAGCACCGGCUAACUUCGUG
rnacentral:rRNA from 1 species